rnacentral:rRNA from 1 species
AUUGAACGCUGGCGGCAGGCCUAACACAUGCAAGUCGAGCGAGCGGCGGACGGGUGAGUAAUGUAUGGGGACUGCCCGAUAGAGGGGGAUAACUACUGGAAACGGUAGCUAAUACCGCAUACUAUCGGCUAACCCAGAUGGGAUUAGCUAGUAGGUGAGGUAAUGGCUCACCUAGGCGACGAUCCCUAGCUGGUCUGAGAGGAUGAUCAGCCACACUGGGACUGAGACACGGCCCAGACUCCUACGGAGGCAGCAGUGGGGAAUAUUGCACAAUGGGCGCAAGCCUGAUGCAGCCAUGCCGCGUGUAUGAAGAAGGCCCUAGGGUUGUAAAGUACUUUCAGGGGGGAGGCGUUACCGGCAGAAGAAGCACCGGCUAACUCCGUGCCAGCAGCCGCGGUAAUUC